AAUCAGAAGAAAAGAGAAACCAAGGAAGAACAAACCCUAGGUGGGAAAAAUCAAAGAGAAAGUGUUGGAAUUCAAGAAUUUGAUCAAGCAAAGGUAAAAUUUCUUUGAUUUUGCUAGUGACUUACCUUACCCAUGCAUUUUCCCUUAAUUUCCAUGGUUAAAUUACAUCUUUUCAUGAUGAAUUCAUGGCUGGUCAAAAUGGGUAAGGAGAGAGAAAGAUGUUGGAUUGAAUUGAUUUUAAGAUAUGUUAGUGUUUUUAGUUAGUUUAGCAUAUUUAGAAGCAAAGCAACAAGGAAAGAAUCCAUUUUCCCCAUGAAUCUUCAUUGGCCGAAUCUUCCUUAAUGUGUGUGGGUGAUGGAUUGUUAUUAUUUCAAGAGAAAUGGCUUAGAAAAUGAUGAAUAAUGGUGAGAAAAUUAAGUAGGAAAAAUCACAGUGUUAGUGCACUGUAAUGGCCGAAUUUUUCCAUGAAGAAAUGGGAAGGUUUUGAUGCUGAAAUUGGUGUUAUUUGAAUAAUGUUUGGUGAAUUGAGGUAUUACAAAUGAAAUGGAGCAAUUUAGAGCCAAAUCGAACAUAAUUGUCAUUUAAUCGGGUAAUAGGCCGAAUUAGGUCAGCACCGCAUUUAAGCGGUAGUCGGAUAAGUUGCAUAUCAUAUCAUGCAUAUACACCGAGCCUGAAUUGAUUUUAUAAUGGUCAAGCAUUAAUGUGGUGAAUUAUAUAUUGUACAUUGUGGAUAGGUGGUGAGUAAAUUACACUGAUAAAAGUACAGAGAUUGUGCUUGAAGACUGGGAUUAGGAGUACAUCGACUCCUAGAACUGUGAGUAAACUUAUUAUCGUCUUAAUUAUCUAGAGUAGUUUUAUACAAUUGUGUGAUUUUAUAGAAAAUGGGUUUAAAUGGUAAAUUGCUACGUUUU
rnacentral:lncRNA from 1 species